CGACAGACACGCUGGUGUAGUCUGUUGUCAGAACCCAGUGUGGGCUGUAGGGAGUAACUGAGGGCACAGGAAAGAGAAGAGGAUGAGAACCUGUCUUCUGUCUAAACAUGGGGCAGGAGUCUGUGACAUUACAAAUUAAAGCUUGAAGUUGGGCUGCACUUGUGGAGAAGGACAAGGACCCCAGUGAUAGGUCUGAGUAGAGGCCAGAGGCAGCAGCAGCAGCAGGAGGAAGAGGCAGCCAGCAGCCAUGGCUUUGGAUGGAUGGGUCCAGUUUACAGGUUUGAUGAGGACCGAGGCUGCAGCUGCAGUUACGACUCCGUUCUGAGCGUCUGGGACAAAUACUGGGUACGAGUGUGUCCACAUGACAUCAUGCUACAGCGCUCCACAGCACGAGGCAGCUCAUUAGGUGACAAGGCAGUAGAACUACCUACAGCAGAGACGUGAAGAAAUCUUGGCAUCAACAGUGCUUUGAGGACAGACUGGCAGAGUUAAUCAUAAGAUCUGGUUAUCAGAAAGGCUCCACUAGACUGGUACUGUGUGUGUGUGUUUACUUUGACGUGGGGACCAUAAACCAUGUUUUUGCUAUAAGGGGGAGGACAUCGUGACACUGUGGGGACAUUUGUGUGUGUGUGUGUGUGUGUGUGUACCUG